GGUAAAUUUUAUAUAUUUCGUUUUCUUGCUAUUUAACAAUAGGUUAUUAGCGAUAAACCAGUACACGAUGUCAGAUAGAAUAUCGUUCACUUCGUCAUACAUAGCUUGGUUUCUUUUCACUUUGAAAAUCAGUGAAGUGCCGUCCGCAAACAAUACUACCUUAUGUUUUUUCUCUAUAAGAUUGGGAAGAUCAUUUAUAUAGAUAAGGAAGAGGAACGGUCCGAGAAUAAACCCUUGUGGUACCUUCACGUCGACCUUCUGAAUUCUAUUGUUUAGAUAUGAAAUCAGAAGAUCGAGCGCAGUUCCCUUUAUGCCAUAGUGACAUAGCUUCCUGACCAGCGUUGAAUGUUGAACACAAUCAAAAGCCUUAGAUAAAUCACAGAAUAUGCUAAGAGCAUUCUGCGAUUCCUCCCAGGCAUCAAAAAUAUUCUUGAUAAGCUCAACACCUGCAUCCGUUGUUGAACAUUCCCUAGUAACGCCAAAUUGUUUCAAAUGAAGUAACUUAUGAGAGUUAAAGGCUAACAAAACUAAAAUUGAAACUUUGUUGACAUCCUAUAACAUUUUCUAGAAGAAGUGACUCAACAACACUGGUGGAGGAGACAAGAGUGUUUGUGUUAUAUGAGAUAGAGCAGAGUAUCAGCAGUAGACUAUGAGCAAAUCAGUGCAUUCACCAUUAUUUAAUAUAAGAAAACAAUUUUAUAAAUUAAUUAUAACCUUUUAUAAGCAUGACAACGUAAUAACUGCUUUGUAGUCAUAGUAACCAAAAGUCACUAAUUUCUUCUAUUAGUAAGACCUCUACGAUAGUUUGUGAUAGAAACUGGAAUCUUAGAAGAAACAUCUCAAAAGCAGUAGCAACUUCCUGCUGAGAUUGAAUUAUUGUAUUGUUUAUUAUAGAUUAUAUUCAAUG